rnacentral:miRNA from 1 species
GCUGACACAUCCCGGCCAAUCUCCAGCAGACCCUCCCUCCAUGACCCUCCCACCUCCUGGACAGCAUCCAUGUUGAAGGCAGCUUCAACAUGGAUGCUGUCCAGGAGGUGGGAGGGUCAUGGAGGGAGGGUCUGCUGGAGAUUGGCCGGGAUGUGUCAG